rnacentral:rRNA from 1 species
GAGCGAACGCUGGCGGCAGGCUUAACACAUGCAAGUCGAGCGGGCGUAGCAAUACGUCAGCGGCAGACGGGUGAGUAACGCGUGGGAACGUACCUUUUGGUUCGGAACAACACAGGGAAACUUGUGCUAAUACCGGAUAAGCCCUUACGGGGAAAGAUUUAUCGCCGAAAGAUCGGCCCGCGUCUGAUUAGCUAGUUGGUGAGGUAACGGCUCACCAAGGCGACGAUCAGUAGCUGGUCUGAGAGGAUGAUCAGCCACAUUGGGACUGAGACACGGCCCAAACUCCUACGGGAGGCAGCAGUGGGGAAUAUUGGACAAUGGGCGCAAGCCUGAUCCAGCCAUGCCGCGUGAGUGAUGAAGGCCCUAGGGUUGUAAAGCUCUUUUGUGCGGAAGAUAAUGACGGUA